CUACGGGCGGCUGCAGUGAGGAAUAUUGCACAAUGGGGGAAACCCUGAUGCAGUAACGCCGCGUGGAGGAUGACGCAUUUCGGUGUGUAAACUCCUUUUAUCAGAGAAGAAAAUGACGGUAUCUGAUGAAUAAGCUCCGGCUAACUCCGUGCCAGCAGCCGCGGUAAUACGGAGGGAGCAAGCGUUAUUCGGAAUCACUGGGCGUAAAGGACGCGUAGGCGGGUUUUUAAGUCAGGUGUGAAAUCCUAUGGCUCAACCAUAGAACUGCACUUGAAACUGGGGACCUAGAGUAUGGAAGGGGCAGGUGGAAUUAGUGGUGUAGGGGUAAAAUCCGUAGAUAUCACUAGGAAUACCGAAAGCGAAGGCGACCUGCUGGGACAUUACUGACGCUGAGGCGUGAAAGCGUGGGGAGCAAACAGGAUUAGAUACCCGUGUAGUC
rnacentral:rRNA from 1 species